UGUCAAUACACCGUCAUCUUCUGAGCUUAAGCAUUAAGGUAAUCCACCUUGGGAUUACGUCAGCAAUGAUGUAACUCAAAGGUAUUGACGGGGUCCCGCACAAUCGGAGGAACAUGUGGUUUAAUUCGAUGAUACGCGAGGAACCGUACCUGGGCUUAAAUGUUUAGUGAUCGACCGGGAGACCGGUUUUUCCUUCGGGACACUUUACAAGGUGCUGCAUGGUUGUCGUCAGCUCGUGCCGUGAGGUGUCGGGUUAAGUCCCAUUAACGAGCGCAACCCCUAUCGCCAGUUGCCAGCACAUAAUGGUGGGAACUCUGGUGAAACUGCCGGUGCAAACCGUGAGGAAGGUGGGGAUGACGUCAAAUCAGCACGGCCCUUAUGUCCAGGGCUACACACGUGUUACAAUGGUCGGUACAACAGGAUGCCAAUCCGCAAGGAUGAGCUAAUCCCAAAAGCCGAUCUUAGUUCGGAUCGGAGUCUGCAAUUCGACUCCGUGAAGUUGGAUUCGCUAGUAAUCGCAGAUCAGCCAUGCUGCGGUGAUACGUUCCCGGGCAUUGUACACACCGCCCGUCAAGCCAUGGAGCCGGGGGUGCCUGAAGUCCGUAACCGUAAGGAGCGGCCCAGGGUAAACCGCUAACUGGGGCUAAGUC
rnacentral:rRNA from 1 species